rnacentral:lncRNA from 1 species
CUUCAGAUGCUGCGUGAGGAAUUUGAGCUAACCAUGGCGUUGAGCGGCUGCCGGUCACUCUCGGAGAUUACUCGCAACCACAUUGUCACCGACUGGGAUGUUCCACGCCUUCUUCCUCCAGCAAGGCUUUGAAUGCAGCUGCCUAAAUUAGAGGCAACUGCUUCAUUACAAUUUGAACCAUGGCAUUUGUGCUUUCAAGAGAAUCCCUUUUCAUGAAAACUCACUUAUGUUUAAAUGAGUCUACAAUCUACAUUAUGAUAAUGUCAAAGCUUUUGAGUAGAGGUGGCAAUUUGUCCCAAGUCCCAAUGGGUUACCCAUGCCCAAAAGGACUUUAGGCGGGAUGGGUAUUAUAAUUUGAUAUUGGAUUUAAAAUGGGAUGCAUCCCAAUUGUACCCAUUAUUUGAUGGGAAAUGUUGGGAAAUAUUUGGGUACCCAUUGGGCUCAAAUAUCUUCCCAAAAAAUUUCAUUUAUCAAAAAAUUCAUCUUUGAUUUUUUUUUUUUUUUUGCAAAAAUCUGAUUUUUUUGCACUUCCAUUUUCUUUCUUUUCCUUUCUUCACUUUCCUACAAAAGAAAACCAAUUAAGUAAAAAUGAUUUCAUUUAAACAACUUAAAAAAAAUAAAGAUAACAAUAAAAAUAAAAUGAAUUGAUAAAAUUUUGUUGUCUACAAGAAUCAAUACUUUACUAACAAUUGUUGGCACCCUUUAUGUUGAUUUUAUGCUAAUUGUUGAACUAUCUACAUAGAUUUCUAUAUGCAACAUUGUUAUCAAUUUUUAAUCAGCUUUUUCGUUUCUAUGCUAGUUUUAUUCAGCAUUUAAUGUGAAUUUCUUUUGUAUCAAAUUUUGGAAAUUUUAAGAAUGUCAAUAAGAAUGAAUUUGGUAUUAAAAAAUCUUGUUUCUAGUUCUUGUGUUAGACAAUAUUAUGGAUAAGGUUGGAAUAUGGCUAUAUAUCUAUAUUUUCCUUUAUUUGUUAAUCCAAUUUUUGGUUUAAUCCAGGGAGAAGAUAUGUUCAUUCUUACCAAAAUGUUAUGUCUUUUAAAAGUAACUAUUGAUCGUUCUAGAAUGUAAAUGAAUUCAGGAAAAUAUAAAUUCACAAUAAGAUAAAAAGAAAUUUAACAAAUAAAAAUAUUAAAGUUAUAUAAAAAAUAAAAAAGAAUUAAAAGAAAAAAAUAUAGAAAAUAAAUUUGGGUAUUGGGCGGGAUCAAUCUAAACACAUUCCAAAGUGAUCCCGCCCAAGUUAGUCCCAAAACAUAUAUGGGUAAGGUUAGACACAAAUCCAUGUGAUUCGGUUCCAUUUCGAAUCCAAACAAAUUCAUGUGCAUGAGAUUGGACCAAAGUUUAUUCUAAAAAUAUGAGCUCUAGCUUUCUUAUUAAGAUGCUGCUAUCUGAAGUAUUCAUCCUUUUCACAAAUUUUGUUGUCUACCUCCAUUCACAAUUCAACAUUAUGGGUUGUAUUAUUGCAGAAUCCUCCAUCAGUUCCUACUUUAGUAGCUGUUAAAUGGGCCAGCUGCCUGAGACAUUCUGCUUUUGUAUUAGACUGGCAUAAUUUUGGUUACACACUACUUUCACUGACUCUUGGGAGGGGCAGCAGUUUUGUGACAAUAUAUCGUUGGUAUAAGACAAACCUUUUCCAUUUAAGUGUAGAAUUGGACCUUUUCUUAAUUAAUGAUUCAUAAAGUCAAAACAUAUCUAGGAUUGAGAAGCAUUACGGGAGGAUGGCAAGUGGUGCCUUUUGUGUGACAAAGGCAAUGCAACAUGAAUUGGAUCAGAACUAGGGGAUUAAGUAAGAGUAUGAAUUCUCUUCUUCACAUUUGGCUCUGAUUGGUCAUCUUAUGGUUUAGCUCCAGCAAGUAUUCCUUAUCAUUUUUGUGUUUUUAUAUCUCAGAGCAACUGUGCUUUAUGAUCAACCUCCUGAAUUUUUCCGACCUGCUUCCAUUGAGGAGAAGCAUGAGGUACUUUUUUUUUCCAAUCGGAUUGUUCAGCAACAUGUAUUGACUUUGAGAAUUUUAAAAAUUGACUGUGGAUUGUAGUUGUUUUGUAGGAUCAGCGAAAGUCUCAGUCAACCCUUUGGACUUCAAGACUGCAUAAGCUAUGGUAGUAGUAACACAAUUUGUUAUGCAGUUGAUCUUUAUUUGAUGUUGAAUUAGUUGAUGCCAAUCAUGGUUUUCUCUUAAAACUGCAGGAAUGACUGGAACAGGUGAAAGUGAUCCCAAUUCUACCUUAUUUACAAUUCAUACUGGCACAAAUAUAAUUAUGAAGCAGAACAGACCUGCCAUCAUUGUAAGCAGCACAAGUUGGUAAGCUGUUGAUGUGUCUUCAUUCAGUAGAUCAACUAAGCACCUAAUUACUAAAUUGUAGAUGACUAUCCUACUCCACAGUAUCUUGGGAGCUUAUGAAACUUUUUAAGGUAAAGUUAUGGCUUUAGUUCUUCGGAGACAGAUAACCAUUUGAGGAGUGUUAUUGAUUUGAGAUCAAACUGUUCACAACACAGAAACAUUGAUUAGUUUAGUGAUCUCCCAACAACAGAAAUUAGUACCACUGCUGUUUUUGCGAGCUUCAAAACCAGAAAGAAGGGUACCAAUGAUAAUCUGAAUAGCUUUUUCAUGCAUUCUUCAAUUCUUUCGCAUGAAAUGCAGUACGAAAUGGUAGUUAUGUGGUUAAUGGGCCAUAACUAAAUGAUGUGAGUUUAUAGCAAAUAUAGAUGGCGGCUGUUGUCUUAAGGAAUAGCCAAAUUGUUAUAAUGUUGUUAUUCUGCAUAGCAUCUCUGAUUCCAUAUAAGUAAUUUUCAGGACUCCAGAUGAAAACUUUAGCAUUCUUUUGGAGGCAGCACUUAUGUAUGAUAGACGAGUUGCAGGACUAUUAAAUGAGGAUGAUGUGAGUGAUGGGGAAAUUUUAUGGAAUGAAAUCUUGUGCCAAGGUGGAGGAGUUCAAGAAAAUGUAUGUUUCUACAAUUAAUAUGCUUAUGCAGUUAUCUUUUUUUGUUUCUGCCCUUUAAAUAUAUAUUUUUUUAUGCAAAUUAUUGUGUGGGGAAGUUCUGCUAACUAAAUGCCCAACUGUUUUCCAUGUGCUAUAUAAAAGUGCAUAUACCAACUAUUUUAGGGUAUGAUUGCUCUAACGGAGUUUUAUGCUACUUUUUUCACGAGUAUAAUCAUCUCAAGGAGUGACUUUAUAUGAGCUUGCUUCUGUCUGGUGCCUGAUUUUGAUUUUUGAUAUGAUCUCAAAUUGCUUACGCAACGGUCUAAAUUGGUUGCUUCUUGUGCACUUUUAGUUGUGCCUUGCACAUUUAUCUCAAUGUAUGUGCAUUUAUGUUGUCUUUGUUCGUUUUUCUGGCUCAGCAUGGUUUUAUUUUUGAAUGAUGUGGUGACCAUUAUGAUGAUUGAGUUGUUGGUUUUGCUGGUAUAUCUAGAGGAAAAUCCCAUAUUCAUUGAUUUUCCUGAUUAUAGAUAAGAGUUUGGAGAGAUGGUGCUUUUAGUCAAGAAGUAUUUAAGUCAAGAAGUGCCUUUGAAGAUAUGGCUUGAAUGUAAAGCACUUUUAAUAACUGAUAUUUCUUGGCAAGGCACUUAUGUCAUAUGCUAAAAAUUUUAGUUUCUUUUUUGGCAAAGUGCAUUCAUGGCCAUGCAUUACUUUCGCAAACAACCUUUCUAUAAAGUCGCAACACUUGCUAUCUUUCAUAUUGAUCAUUGAUCUAAGGAUUCUCUCUCUCUCUCUCUCUCUCUCUCUCUCUCUCUCUCUCUCAGCAUUGAGAAAGAGGCUUCAUCAGUGCUGGCAUCAUGUGGUUGGUCAGAAGAAGUUUACACUUUUAUGCUUUCUCGGAAAAAGCUGUGUGUGGGACGAGCAGAAUAUGAUGCAUCAAAUGUCAACCAAUUGAAGUAAGUUUCUUGAGUUGUUGAAAUUCAGGUUUUUUCCUCUGGCUUUCAUGUAUUUCAUUCUUUAAUUAAUGCUUCCUUCUCUUUAGUUAACCUGGAUGUGGAACAUUUGAUGCUUUAUAGAUGACCAAAAUUUUCAGACACUGAUUAAAAUUGCUAGAAUAUGAGGAGCUGAAUGUGUCAAUAGUGUUUAGUGUUCCUGAAUUUAUUGUGUCCAAACAAAUGGAUUCAGCAUACUGAUUUCAAUUGUCCUUGUAUUCUAUUGGAGAGCUCUCAUGGACUGUGGAACCUUUUAAGCCACAAAUCUGAUUGCCAUAUUAUUGCAUUAGAGGUUGUUAACUGAAAUGGGAGGUGAGACAAGUUAACCGUGGAAUCAGUUUGUUUACCUGGAUGUUGUGAUUUAUGAUGUCAUUACUCCCUUUUUACAUGAUUAUCCACUUAUCAAUAAAAUAUUUUUGUGCCUGUGGAAUUUAAUUAUGCAACCUUUACAUGCAUUUGAUAUUUUGUAUCUUCUCUUCUUUGUACUUAUUUGUAACUUACAGCUCAUAUGGAAUCUCGUCUACAUUUAUGUCAUACAGGAGGCUGUUGAUAAAAGAUGCCAAAUCAGCCUUCAUUUCAAAAAUUCCCGAGUCGUUGAAGGGGAGGCUUAUUGAACAUCUAGUAUUAUUCAGCAAAGAGAAACAACCUUCUAUUGCGUGAGCAGUCUUGCAAGGUAAGCAUUCAAGAAAGACAAUUAUGUUCUCAAGAUUUACUAUGCUCCUCAUUAGAAGAAAUGAGAUUUUACCUGGUCGCUCUGCCUUUAAUCUCUUUUCCUUGUAUGGACUGUACUUGAACAUAUGUUUCGGCCGCUUGCAGCCUCUAGCAAUUGUAGAUGAUGAGGUUGGCUCCUCAUACUGUGAUGCUGAAAAUGAUGGAGUUAAUUUACUAUGGCAUCCUGAAGUCUGAAUUUAAUUACGAGUAUAUUCUAUUUCAUCAGUGGCAGAAGAUACUCUUAUCACAUCUCUAAUGUUUUUGGAACUCGGUAACUGGUCGAUUGAACCAAUUGUAGAUGAUCGUCCUGUAAAAGAUAAGGCAUACAAAAGUCGAGCCUGGGUGUCACCUUAAAUUUGCUUCUUGCAGGCGGUGCAAUAGGUGUUUGAUAGAGAAUGACACAAAUGUUGCUCAUAUUGUAUGAUAUCCUUUUUGAUCGUAUGUGUAGCAUAGAAUCCCAUUUUAUGGAUGUAUCACAAUUUUCCCAUCAAAAUGUGGCCGGAGUGUACGAUUGGAUCAGCAAUUGAGUAUUAUUACUACUACUUUUUCUAACAUUUGCACUGAUCUUGCUUUUACCGUUUUGAAGUGUUGUUGUACUAUAUAUGUUGUUGUUGUUGUUGUGGACCUUCCUACCAAUGUACCUUUGGCGAAGUGUGUGUGUGUGUGUUUUUUUUUUUCUGCUUUUUUCGUUUUUGUAAUGAUUAAGUGUGAUUCUAGUCUAUUUCUGGUCCACCCCUUCUGGACGAGGGUGAGUUAUUUUGUGAGCAAAUUUGUAUAAGAAAUUUUUCCCCUUUAUACGCAAGUCUCUGUGUUAACCACGGAGGGAAGCUAAUUUGGGGUCCCUCAGUCCGAAAGUUCUUUGACUACUUGGAAGUGGGUGAAUGCUAUAAAAUUUAGAGAAGCUGAAGAUGCUUAUGUAGAAUCGCGCUACCGUGUACCGUAAGAUUUUUCAUGAGAAUUAGAGUGAAUUCUUCAUGUGGUGUCUUACAUAAUAAUCAACAUUUAUUACUUAUUCAUCACUCACCGUGUACCGUCAUCACUCAACUAAUGUUGGUAUGGUGCUAUUACUUGUUCAUCAUUUUCCAACCCCUUAAUCGAUCCUUCUCAUUUCUGUGCCUGAAAGUCUUAUUUGGUAUGCGAACUUUUUGUUCACUCCUGCCGUCAAGAAGAUAUGAGUCAAAAACUCCAAUAAAUGUUGGAUAGAGAUAACUUGAAAAAAAAUAAUUUGCCUCACAAAUUUCAAUAACUUUUUUAUCUCACAUACAUCACAUCACAAAAAGUGUUACAGUAAUUAUCUCAAAUAAAUCAUCCAAAUAAACUCUUACUGUGUAUGAAUGAAUUUUCAGAUGAAAGUGGAGAAUUUUCUUAACAUGUAUUAGAAGUCGAGAACUCGAGAUGCCAUAUCAGAAAAAGCUACAGUACAAACCGUGGAGAAACCUAAGGCUUCGUUGGGAUUGAGGAAUUUGAUGAAAGAUUUAGUUGUUUAAAAAUUAUAAGAGGUAUUUCGGUUUGUAAUUCACCAAUUAUAUAAAUACACUUUAUAUAUUAAAUUAAUUGGUAAUUUACAAAUCCAAAUAACUCCUAAAUGAUCUAAACAAUUAGAGGAAUUUGAGAGGAUUUCAUCAAAUCCCUCGUUAAAUCCCCCAAUCCAAACACAACUUAAUUUAGCGCUCUUAGCUUAUCGCAAGCUAAUGCAGAAAAAGCCAGGCAAGCUUAUAUAAUCUACGGUAGAAACAAUAAAGAAAUCAUACUUAAUUAGCUCAUCGCUUAGCUACUUCUGUUGAAAUUAUGAGGGCAAACAGUCAAGUCCUUGAAGUGCCCACCAAGAAACUUCGAUGUCAGGAAAACCAUAACAAAUUUCCUAUAAAUACAACUCUGCAGUGUCUCCCUUCUAUCAAACAACACCCGAAAAUUGCUCUUUUACCGAACCACUCCAAGUCUCCAACCCUUUUCCUUUCCUUUCGUUUUUCUAGAAAAGAUUCAGGUUUUGCAAAGCCCGUAAGAAUGGCUGAUGAAGUGAUUGUGUUGGACCAUGAACAUAGUCCUCCUGCUAACAGGGUCAGAAUUGCAUUGAAAGAAAAGGGCGUAGCCUUCGUGUCCAAACAAGAAGAUUUGCCGAAUAAGAAGAGUUCAUUGCUCUUAGAAAUGAACCCGGUGCAUAAACAGAUCCCUGUCCUAAUUCACAAUGGGAAGCCAGUUUGUGAAUCCCUCAUCAUUGUUGAAUACAUUGAUGAAGUCUGGAAUGACAAAUCUCCUUUGCUGCCAACUGAUCCUUAUGAGCGAGCUCACUCAAAGUUCUGGGCUGAUUAUAUAGACAAAAAGGUAAUUUCGACUGAAUGAACCAUUCUGUUCUCCUAUUAGUAAAAUUAGAACGAACCAUUUUCGUGCCAGCUUAAUUUCUUGAACAGCCCUACGUUAAUGCUUCCACAUAGGAUUUUAUGAAAAUUUACAGAGAGUAUGAUGGCUUUUGAAUUUUGUGAUCUGAUUAUUGUGAGCAUAAUCUAACUAUCCCGGAGUAUAUGGGUUGUGUAAUACAGAUCUAUACUUCUGGAAGACCAGUGUUGACAACCAAGGGUGAAACCCAGGCAGCAGCCAUGAAAGAACUAAUAAGCAGCCUCAAAAUAUUGGAUGCAGAGCUUGGAGACAAACCUUACUUUGGGGGAAAGACUUUUGGCAUCACAGAUAUUGCCUUUAUACCCUUCUACAGCCGGUUUUAUACCCUGGAGAAGUUUGGAAACUUGAGCAUGAAUGAGGAGUGCCCAAAACUUGUUGCAUGGGGUGAAAGGUGCUUGCAGAGGGAAAGUGUAUCCACCACUAUGCGUAAUCAGUAUGAGACUUAUGACUUCAUGUUGGAGAUAAGGAAGAAGCUUGGAGUUGAGUGACCAGAAGCUUUGUGAUUUUCUCUGCGCAUCUCUUUUCCAUCUUCAUUCAUGAAAAAAACAAAAAAUUUGCAGGAUUAAGAAGAAUAAAUGUUACUUCCACCGUAGUUUUGAAGAUUCAGUUUGUGAUAACUUGUAUGGUUACUAUUAUAUUCAAAUAAACAUACAGACGAUGUUUAAUAUAAUUUGCCCAGCACCAUGCUUUCAACCUUCAUCAAAUUGGCAGGGUUGAGAUACAUAUACUAUCACAAAAACAUAGUGAAGAGAUUUAUAAUUUUUGUUCGUCCCAUUGAGUAUUCUGCUUCGUUUUAUUAAAAAGAAAAUUUUAAAGGAUUCGACUAAAGGGCACUAGUAAUUCUAGACAGUAGUGUAACUCAUAAAAUUAUUAAUCAUUCUUAAACUAGUAAUUGUAUUUUAAUACGACUAACCUGACAAUCUUUGUAUCCGUGAUUCACAAAAUGAAAAUUUAUUAUUAUCAUUAUUAUUAUAUUCAAGAUAGGUUACAUCUUCAAGUCUUGACUUCCAUGGUCUACUAGUUCGUGUGAAACAAAAACUCUUUUAGUUUUGACAAGUUGUCGCCACCACCACAAAUGUUAUGGUAGACAAUAAUGUACAUAAAUAGAUACUAGGAAACAAGUUAGUAGCACUAAUUAUUUUCAAGAAACAGAUUAGUUCUAACAAUCAAUGUAAGCUUUGUCAAAACAUGACAUGUCCUAAGAAUUUUCUACACCCCCCCCCCCCCCCCAACAAAAAAAAGAAAAGAAAGAGGCACCCCAUAAGAAACUGCCAUACAAACUUGCCUAUUGCUGGCGUAAUUGUCUGCACAGAGCCUUGUUCAUGUAGGAUUUCUACAUAUGUUUGUGCCCAUAUGCAUUUUGGUUGGCACUCAAAGAAAUCCAGAGUUACAUUUGUCCCCUCUAUUAAAUGCUCAAAUCCAGAGCCAAAGAAUUCCUCAAAUCAAGUGAUUUUUUUUUUUUUUGUUGGUUAGCUAAUUAUAUAAUUAUUUUAUCUCCUUAUCCUUAUAUUUUGAAUAUUUUUAAUCUUUAAGUCACUUUCAUGAGUAUUUGAAAUCUCAAACAGUGUAAACUAACCAUAGGAUAAUUUUGUGCAUGUCUGCGUCAAUUUAUCAUUUUGGAUUCAAGAAUUGAUACAACCUAAAAUUCCAUUAAUUCUGCUUUCAAUCCAAGUAGUUACAUAUAUGAAUAACUUAGAUCAUUAGAUUAAAGCUUCAAUUGUUUAUGUUCAAACACAUGUAAUAUUCAAGGGAAUGAGCUGAAAAAUGAAAUCCCAAAUGUAGAAACUAGAAGCAUUAGUACCUAGUUGAAGUACCAAGAAUAGUUCCUUAGGAGACAAGGACUAACAGGACCCUCACCACCAUUCUCUUCUUCAUUAGUAUGUUAUCCAUUCUCUGAGUCAAGAAAUUUGCACCAUAUACAGACAAGGAGAGGAAGACAGUGAUGUAUUAAUAGUUACUACUAGACCAGAUAGAGGCACAUCAUUAUAUCAAAAUAAUACAUAAAACGUGAAUAUAUAUGUACUCAGCAUGCAUUCAAAGAACUAUUUCAGUAGGAGGAAAAUUUUCAGAAAUUUUGGUGUGGGAUGAUAAUGAAGAAAACACUCUGAAACACACAAGAUGUAUGUGGUAUAGAGCCAACCAUUUGCCCCUCUAAUCGGAUGUGUUUUAAAAUGCUCACCUCCAAAUACUCAUCCUCAAAUUUGUGCCUCUCUCUUCAUGACCCAUCGGCCAUCACCCCAUUUGUCUUCAUCUCAGCUAUUAUUUUAUCACUUUUUUUUGUUCCAUAACUUGUCAUUUUUUUUCUUGGUUCAUUGUCCUUUUUCUCCUUUUAAGUUUAUCCUCACUUCUCUACUUGUGGUUUCCCUCUGCAUGCACUCUUGCAGAGUUAAGGUUUGUCCCCUGCUUUUCACUUUGCUCUUUGCUUCUACUGACCUUAUUUUGCUUUGCCAGACUCACAUGAUCAACCAAUCCAGUUGCAACUUCCAAUUCUAUGAUUCUUAUAUGGCAUAACUAUUUGGGCUUCUGUACUUCCAAUUUUGUUGGGGUCUUGCUUAAUUUUUUAGGCUCUUAUUCAGGGGUUAUUGCUCUUUCCUUAAUGAUUUCUUUCUUCGAGUCUUUACAGAGUAUUGAUACAUAUGCCGUGACGCAUAUGCCCUUUACGUAACAGAUUUUGGAUGCUUCGGAAAAAGGGAUUUUUGUGUCUUAACUGUUGCCUUAUAUGGACAAUUAGAGAAUAUUCUUGUUUUGGGGAUAAUAAAGAAAAUAUGGUUUUGAAAAAGGAUCGUGUAAUUAAUCUGUAAUCUGAGUUUUGUGUCUCUCUUAACAAGGUAGGAUCUUUAGGAGGGGAAGCUUAGAGAGUUUGCCGCAGAGAUGGGGGAGAUUACCAACGUCACGGAAUAUCAGGCAAUUGCCAAGCAGAAGUUGCCAAAGAUGGUAUAUGAUUACUAUGCAUCAGGUGCAGAGGAUGAAUGGACUCUGGCGGAGAAUAGAAAUGCUUUCUCAAGAAUUUUGUAAGUUGAUGCCUAUUUUCAAGGCCUAGAAUAAACAAUGAUUCAGUAACUCUUCAGCAAUUUGUUAAGAUUGAUUGCUGAUUUCAUCUAACUAUGCUGCUUAAUUGAAACCAAUACAGAUUUAGGCCACGGAUUCUAAUUGAUGUGAGCAGGAUUGACAUGACCACCACCAUCUUGGGAUUUAAGAUUUCAAUGCCCAUCAUGAUUGCCCCAACUGCCAUGCAGAAAAUGGCUCAUCCUGAAGGUAACAGAUUCCUAGCUUUUAACAAAACAACUUUCUUUCUUAGCAGCUGAUACCCUAUAAGUACCAUAGGAAAUGACAGUUUUCAAAGAUUGAUGAUUGAUUAGCUCAUAUUCGUGUUAAUACUGUUCAGAAUUAGAGGACCUUCUGGAAGAUAUAGUAACGUCUGCUGGAAAUAUCCAUUUGGGAAUACUGAUGUUACCAAAUUGUUCAACUAGGAUUGUUAUGCAUAAAACUAUACUGUUAUCAAUUUGUUUCGACUUGCUAAACUUGAAGUUGAGCUUGCGUGGCGUCUUCAAACUUCACUUUCUGUUAGCAAGCAAUACUUGGCUGAUCUUAACUACCUGGUUGCACCCAUUGCACCAAGAACCUAGCUCAAUGUCCUUUUAUUUGAUGUAGUGUACAUUUACAGUUUACUCCUCAAAGUAUUCUACCUUUGGAUAAAUAUAGCUGCAGUACAUUUUGCUGAUAUCAUACCUCCUUGGAAAGAAAAAAGGAAAAACGGAAAAGGAGACUUUUUGACUUGUUCUAUAUUUCUCUAUGACAAUUAAAGAAGCAGGAAGAUCCUCUAUAUUUCUCUAUGACAAAACAAAAGAAAGAUUAUUUAUUGGAAUGGGAACAUUUUUAAAGUGAUUGAAAAAGAAAAGAUGAGUAGGAUAAUCCAUGAAGGAAAUGUGAUUAAUUUAUUAGUCUCUGCAUGAUGUAAAGCAGCUCACUUCUUUGUACCAAACAUGCUUUUGAAGUUCUUGAAGCUGAUAUGGACUAAUUUUAUGCAGGUGAAUAUGCAACUGCAAGAGCUGCAUCAGCUGCAGGAACAAUUAUGGUUAAAUAUAUAUCCUUGUCAAAUUUAUAUCAAAUCUUUUGAAAGAAGAUUUAGAUCAUGUUUAAAUUCAUAGGGUCACAUUAUUUGGCAGUAUCUACUCUCCAAGAAGGCAAGAACUAUCAAAGUUGACAUGACAAUGUAGCAAGAUUUUGACAUUGUGUGGCUUUAUAUAGCACACUGGAAAAUAAUGGAACCUGGAGAUUAAAGUACAAAGACUUGUAAUAUACACUGAAUUAUUAAUGUAUGAUCUGUUGGUGAUUUCAGACGUUGUCAUCAUGGGCUACUUCCAGUGUUGAAGAGGUUGCAUCAACAGGACCAGGCAUCCGGUUUUUUCAACUUUAUGUAAGCAUGAAUUUGCAAUCCUUGCAAUCUUUUUGUGUUACUGCUGUUGCUGUUCCAGCUCUUGACUUGUCAUCAUCAGUUACCUAUAGACAAAUUUCAUACCUCUGCUAUGCAGGUCUACAGGGACAGGAAUGUUGUUGCUCAGCUUGUGCGAAGAGCUGAAAGGGCAGGUUUUAAGGCUAUAGCCCUUACUGUUGACACACCUAGACUGGGACGCAGAGAAGCAGAUAUCAAGAAUCGGUGUGUUUGAAUUCCAACAUUAUCAUAGAUCUUAGACUUAUUGAAUUAGGUUGUGCUACAUCACAAUUUGAGGGGUUAGACUUUAACCUUAAAGUACUAGAGGUUAAUAAACUAUCUCUGAAGAGUGCAUUUGACUGAAUCUGAUACAGAUUUACUUUGCCACCAUUUUUGACAUUGAAGAACUUCGAGGGAUUAGACCUUGGCAAGAUGGACAAAGUAAGUUGCGACAAUAAUUGGUCCAUAUAUGUAACUGGUCUGAAUUUUUGAGGUCUUAUACAAGUUUUAAUUGUUGUCCUAUUUGCAGGCAGAUGACUCUGGAUUAGCUUCAUAUGUUGCUGGUCAAAUUGAUCGCACUCUAAGUUGGAAGGUACAGUAGCUGCAUUGUCAUAACUGAAUGGAUCUUUUGCUAAGUCAUGGAUAUUACUCAACACUAUGCUCACCCUAGUUUGGCUGCUUGCAUCUUGGCAUGCCUGUUAGAGCUAUUUGUGUGGAACUAGUUUCUGAAAGCAUAAAAACCUAAAAACAAUUUUCAUGUUUUCUGGUGUCUUUUUGUAAACCAACGCGAUGUCAUCAAACUUGAGUCAGUAUCCUGAACCUAGUAGAAAUGAAAUGGCAUACCAUUCGUUAUGAGUUUCCAAUUUCUUUAUAUUCUCAUUAUAUGAGUACGAUUAAGGUGACAUUACCAAAAAAAAAAAGGACUUUUUAGAAAAACUGAAAAAAGAAAUCAAUAUUAACUAUGUCUUUCUCAAAACUGACAGGAUGUCAAGUGGCUCCAGACCAUCACUUCAAUGCCCAUCCUUGUGAAGGGUGUCCUUACUGCUGAAGAUGGUAAGAACUCAGAACAAUGGAGGCCCUCACAAUCACCUCUUUAGUGGUCAGGCUUUUGGUGAUAUGUACUAAUGUAGUGAGGAAAUGACUCUUGCAGCAAGAAUAGCUGUCCAGAAUGGAGCAGCUGGCAUCAUUGUAUCCAAUCAUGGUGCCCGUCAACUUGAUUAUGUUCCUGCAACUAUUAUGGCUUUGGAAGAGGUGCCCAACUCUUGCCUGGCUUAUCAUCUGCUUUACAUUUAAACGCCCGAUGAAUACACCAAAAUUAAGCUAAUUGGAAACUUUUUAUCAUAUCAUUAUUUGGUAACCAUGUUCUCUGAUGUGAAAACUUUAGGUUGUGAAAGCUGCACAGGGUCGUGUGCCAGUGUUCUUGGAUGGAGGGGUCCGUCGUGGCACUGAUGUCUUCAAGGCCUUAGCCCUUGGAGCUUCUGGCAUAUUCGUAAGUUCAACAUAUUAACGAAAUUUAUAGUAGAAUCUUCCAUGAUGUUGGUAUGAUCUCAUUCUGUCCAUAAAUAUGGACGAAUUGGUCUAAUGUAAUUUGCAUAUGUUUCUGCAAAACAAGUGAUCAUGUGGUCAUGUUCUGAAUGGACAGAUUGGAAGACCUGUGCUUUUCUCCUUGGCUGCAGAAGGAGAAGCUGGGGUUAGAAAAGUACUUCAGAUGCUGCGUGAGGAAUUUGAGCUAACCAUGGCGUUGAGCGGCUGCCGGUCACUCUCGGAGAUUACUCGCAACCACAUUGUCACCGACUGGGAUGUUCCACGCCUUCUUCCUCCAGCAAGGCUUUGAAUGCAGCUGCCUAAAUUAGAGGCAACUGCUUCAUUACAAUUUGAACCAUGGCAUUUGUGCUUUCAAG